rnacentral:rRNA from 1 species
AGGAAAAGAAACCAACAGGGAUUGCCCUAGUAACGGCGAGUGAAGCGGCAACAGCUCAAAUUUGAAAUCUGGCGCAAGCCCGAGUUGUAAUUUGUAGAGGAUGCUUCUAGGUAGCGACCGGUCUAAGUUCCUUGGAACAGGACGUCAUAGAGGGUGAGAAUCCCGUAUGCGACCGGCCCGCACCUUCUACGUAGCUCCUUCGACGAGUCGAGUUGUUUGGGAAUGCAGCUCUAAAUGGGAGGUAAAUUUCUUCUAAAGCUAAAUACCGGCCAGAGACCGAUAGCGCACAAGUAGAGUGAUCGAAAGAUGAAAAGCACUUUGGAAAGAGAGUUAAAAAGCACGUGAAAUUGUUGAAAGGGAAGCGCUUACAACCAGACUUCUGGGCGGUGUUCCGCCGGUCUUUUGACCGGUCUACUCGCCGUCCCGAGGCCAACAUCAUCUGGGACCGCUGGAUAAGACCUUAGGAAUGUAGCUUCCCUCGGGAAGUGUUAUAGCCUGUGGUGAUGCAGCGCGUCUCGGGUGAGGUCCGCGCUUCGGCAAGGAUGUUGGCGUAAUGGUUGUCAGCGGCCCGUCUUGAAACACGGACCAAGGAGUCUAACAUCUAUGCGAGUGUUCGGGUGUCAAACCCCUACGCGUAAUGAAAGUGAACGGAGGUGGGAAGGGUGACCUGCACCAUCGACCGAUCCUGAUGUCCUCGGAUGGAUUUGAGUAAGAGCAUAGCUGUUGGGACCCGAAAGAUGGUGAACUAUGCCUGAAUAGGGUGAAGCCAGAGGAAACUCUGGUGGAGGCUCGCAGCGGUUCUGACGUGCAAAUCGAUCGUCAAA